CAGUCGCCGCGGUAAUACGGAGGGUGCAAGCGUUAAUCGGAAUUACUGGGCGUAAAGCGCACGCAGGCGGUCUGACAAGUCAGAUGUGAAAUCCCCGGGCUUAACCUGGGAACUGCAUUUGAAACUGUCAGGCUGGAGUCUUGUAGAGGGGGGUGGAAUUCCAGGUGUAGCGGUGAAAUGCGUAGAGAUCUGGAGGAAUACCGGUGGCGAAGGCGGCCCCCUGGACAAAGACUGACGCUCAGGUGCGAAAGCGUGGGGAGCAAACAGGAUUAGAUACCCGGGUAGUCCCUGUCUUUUAUAA
rnacentral:rRNA from 1 species